rnacentral:rRNA from 1 species
GGCGGCGUGCCUAACACAUGCAAGUCGAACGAGAAAGUGGAGCAAUCCAUGAGUACAGUGGCGCACGGGUGAGUAACACGUGACUAACCUACCCUGGAGUGGGGGAUAACUGAGGGAAACCUUAGCUAAUACCGCAUAAUACCUACGGGUCAAAGGAGCAAUUCGCUUCAGGAGGGGGUCGCGGCCGAUUAGUUAGUUGGCGGGGUAAUGGCCCACCAAGACAGUGAUCGGUAUCCGGCCUGAGAGGGCGCACGGACACACUGGAACUGAAACACGGUCCAGACUCCUACGGGAGGCAGCAGUGGGGAAUUUUGCGCAAUGGGGGAAACCCUGACGCAGCAACGCCGCGUGGAGGAUGAAGUCCUUCGGGACGUAAACUCCUUUCGAUCGGGACGAUAAUGACGGUACCGGAAGAAGAAGCCCCGGCUAACUUCGUGCCAGCAGCCGCGGUAAUACGAGGGGGCGAGCGUUGUUCGGAAUUAUUGGGCGUAAA